GAUCGGCUCAGGAUGAACGCUAGCUACAGGCUUAACACAUGCAAGUCGAGGGGCAGCAUGAACUUAGCUUGCUAAGUUUGAUGGCGACCGGCGCACGGGUGAGUAACACGUAUCCAACCUUCCGUUUACUCAGGGAUAGCCUUUCGAAAGAAAGAUUAAUACCUGAUAGUAUGGUGAGAUUGCAUGAUAACACCAUUAAAGAUUUAUUGGUAAACGAUGGGGACGCGUUCCAUUAGGUAGUAGGGACGGGGG
rnacentral:rRNA from 1 species